UAAAUACUCCCUCCGUCUCAAAAUACUUGUCAAAGAAAUAGAUAAAAAAUAUGUGUAUCUACAAUUAAAAUACAUCUACAUACAUCCAUUUGUCUGACAAGUAUUUUCGGACAGAGGGAGUAUUUA
rfam:Triticum aestivum genome assembly, contig: Triticum_aestivum_CS42_TGACv1_scaffold_644191_T_1BL-0.155003_4AL-0.109478